AUUUCAAAUCGCCUUUCCUCAUGCUCCCCACGCUUCAGAGCAUGGUGCUCCUGUAUCCCAUAAAUACCUUCGAGAAGGUGGCGCUAAGAUGCCAGUGCUGGGCAGGAAUCUUGAUGAACACUAGUUGUGGAGUCAGCCUUCUUCUGUAUGCUGGAGGAAGCCUCAAGUCUAAGACCUGUUUUUAAUCUCAAAAACAAACAAGUAAACAAAGCAACAGCAGCAAACUCGUCUCAACUGUAGAGCAAAUAAAUCAGAAUAUAUGAAG
rnacentral:lncRNA from 1 species